rnacentral:rRNA from 1 species
AGCAGCCGCGGUAAUUCCAGCUCCAAUAGCGUAUAUUAAAGUUGUUGCAGUUAAAAGCUGUAGUUGAAUUUCGGAAUCAAUGGAUCGGUCAUGCCACUCGGUGUGUACUGGUUUGAUUGUUCUCACCUUCUAAGGAACCGUGAUGUCAUUAAUUUGGUGUCGCGGGGAAUUAGGACUUUACCUUGAAAAAUUAGAGUGUUUAAAGCAAGCUCACGCUUGAAUACAUUA